UUCAAUUUCUUUCUCUGCAGAGAUGAAGUGGAAUCUUUCUUCAAUCUGGAGUCUCUAAUUUCGUCAAAGCAAAGAUGAAAACAAAUACAUAUAAGACAGCCCUGAAAUCCAAAUAUAGAGGAAACAAGAAGCUGAAAACAGAAAGAACAAGAAGCUGAAUACAGUAGAGAAGUGCAGAGCAAUAGGUACGCGCAGAGAAAUUCAGAGCAACAAGUAUGUAGAUUGCAAAAAAUGCAGACCAACAGGUGCAGAGAAAUAUAGACUGUGACAAAUAUUUUUAGAUGUCAAAUAUUUGAGCUUCAAGUCCCAAUAUUUAUUUAUUUCAAAUAUUUGUUUAAUGAUGUGCUCCACCUGUUUUUUAAAAGAACAGAAUCAGUAAAUUUUUCAGAAAUUGUUGUUUCUUUUGAGAUACGAGUUUAACAAUAUGAACAAUUUGAAGAA